GGUGACUUUGCUCUCUCUAUAUAUAUCUCCUUCAAUUGCACAAUGUCGCUAAUGCAUGUGUUUUCAUUUUUAUAUCUUUUAUCUUGCUAGGCUAAGGCAAUAUUUGGCUUUUCCAGUGAAGAUCAUAUUGGAAAAAUCAUUCUCCAUGCGGAGCAGAGCUCCAUCUUUUCCUAGCUCAUUUUCACAUUUAAUUUGUUCUCUGGAAUGGACAAGCUUCGUUGCUUGAUUCCUUGUG